rnacentral:rRNA from 1 species
CCUACGGGAGGCAGCAGUGAGGAAUAUUGGUCAAUGGGCGAGAGCCUGAACCAGCCAAGUCGCGUGAGGGAGUACUGCCCUAUGGGUUGUAAACCUCUUUUGUCGGGGAGCAAAAGCCGGACGUGUCCGGCUGUGAGAGUACCCGAAGAAAAAGCAUCGGCUAACUCCGUGCCAGCAGCCGCGGUAAUACGGAGGAUGCGAGCGUUAUCCGGAUUUAUUGGGUUUAAAGGGUGCGCAGGCGGAUUUUUAAGUCAGCGGUAAAAUCGUGGGGCUCAACCCCGUCCAGCCGUUGAAACUGGGGAUCUAGAGUGUGCGAGAGGUAUGCGGAAUGCGUGGUGUAGCGGUGAAAUGCAUAGAUAUCACACAGAACCCCGAUUGCGAAGGCAGCAUACCGGUGCACAACUGACGCUCAGGCACGAAAGCGUGGGUAUCGAACAGGAUUAGAUACCCGGGUAGUC